rnacentral:tRNA from 1 species
GUCCGUGUAGCUCAAUUGGAUAGAGCGUUGCCCUCCGAAGGCAAAGGUUGCAGGUUCGAUUCCCGCCAUGGACG